rnacentral:rRNA from 1 species
UACAGAGGUCUCGAGCGUUAGGCGGAAUCACUGGGCUUAAAGCGUGUGUAGGCGGAUCGGUAAGUACCUUGUGAAAUCCCACGGCUUAACCUGGAACUGCUUGGUAUACUGCCAGUCUUGAGCCAUCUAGGGGCUACCGGAACAAAUGGUGGAGCGGUGAAAUGCGUAGAUAUCAUUUGGAACGCCAAUGGUGAAAACAGGUAGCUGGGGAUGUGCUGACGCUGAGACACGAAAGCCAGGGGAGCAAACGGG